CCGCCUGCAUGAAGUUGGAAUUGCUAGUAAUCGCGGAUCAGCAUGCCGCGGUGAAUACGUUCCCGGGGAUUGUACACACCGCCCGUCACACCAUGAGAGUCGGGAACACCCAAAGUCCGUAGUCUAACCGCAAGGAGGACGCGGCCUAAGGUGGGUUCGAUAAUUGGGGUGAAGUCGUAACAAGGUAUC
rnacentral:rRNA from 1 species